rnacentral:rRNA from 1 species
AGUGGGGAAUAUUGGACAAUGGGGGCAACCCUGAUCCAGCAAUGCCGCGUGUGUGAAGAAGGCCUGAGGGUUGUAAAGCACUUUCAAUAGAGAGGAAGGGGUUUGUGUUAAUAGCACAGACUUUUGACGUAACCUAUAGAAGAAGCACCGGCUAACUCUGUGCCAGCAGCCGCGGUAAUACAGAGGGUGCAAGCGUUAAUCGGAAUUACUGGGCGUAAAGCGCGCGUAGGCGGUUUAUUAAGUUGGAUGUGAAAGCCCCGGGCUCAACCUGGGAUGGUCAUUCAAAACUGGUAGACUAGAAUGUGAUAGAGGACAGUGGAAUUCCUAGUGUAGCGGUGAAAUGCGUAGAUAUUAGGAGGAACAUCAGUGGCGAAGGCGACUGUCUGGGUUAACAUUGACGCUGAGGUGCGAAAGCGUGGGUAGCGAACAGGAUUAGAUACCCUGGUAGUCCACGCCGUAAACGAUGAGAACUAGAUGUUGGUUUCAUAAAAGAGAUUAGUAUCGUAGCUAACGCGUUAAGUUCUCCGCCUGGGGAGUACGGCCGCAAGGUUAAAACUCAAAGGAAUUGACGGGGGCCCGCACAAGCGGUGGAGCAUGUGGUUUAAUUCGAUGCAACGCGAAGAACCUUACCAUCCCUUGACAUCAUCAGGAUUUGUUAGAGAUAACUUAGUGCCUUCGGGAACUGGUUGACAGGUGCUGCAUGGCUGUCGUCAGCUCGUGUCGUGAGAUGUUGGGUUAAGUCCCGCAACGAGCGCAACCCUUAUCUUUAGUUACCAGCACGUAAUGGUGGGGACUCUAAAGAGACUGCCGGUGACAAGCCGGAGGAAGGUGGGGACGACGUCAAGUCAUCAUGGCCCUUACGGGAUGGGCUACACACGUGCUACAAUGGGCAGUACAGAUGGUCGCGAAACCGCGAGGCGGAGCUAAUCUAAAAAAGCUGUUCGUAGUCCGGAUUGGAGUCUGCAACUCGACUCCAUGAAGUUGGAAUCGCUAGUAAUCGCAGAUCAGAAUGCUGCGGUGAAUACGUUCCCGGGCCUUGUACACACCGCCCGUCACACCAUGGGAGUGGGUUGCAAAAGAAGUGGGUAGACUAACCUUCGGGAGGUCGCUCACCACUUUGUGAUUCAUGACUGGGGUG